CAAAUAGUCAAAACUUUUAACAACGGAUCUCUUGGUUCUGGCAUCGAUGAAGAACGCAGCGAAAUGCGAUAAGUAAUGUGAAUUGCAGAAUUCAGUGAAUCAUCGAAUCUUUGAACGCACAUUGCGCCCGCCAGCAUUCUGGCGGGCAUGCCUGUUCGAGCGUCAUUU
rnacentral:rRNA from 1 species